AGCACAGCACAGCACAGCACAGCACAUCACGAGGCUUCUUCUUCUCCGUCUCUGUCGAUCCCCACUCUGGAGAGCUCCAAUCCACUCGCAAAUCACUUCAAUCCGACACAUCCACCAUCUAAUCAGCCACCAAAUCGAAGCUAACUAUGCAUCUCAUCGCCUAGCAGCAGCACGCCGGAGGCGGAGGGGAUCGAGGAGGAGGCAGGAGCCGCCGGAUCCAUCGAGCUACCGCGCGGCGGAUCCAGAUCCACCACCACCCGCGGGAGGGGUGAUGAGGAGCCGCGUCCUGGGAGCAGGGCGCCGCCGCCUGGGCCUGGGCCGCAUCUCAGCGGUCGGUUCUACUUCUAUCUAGGGUUUCAACCAACAAAUCGGCCUCCUAAUCCCGGCCAUGGAGUCGCCGCCGCACAAGCUCAAUGUCGGCCGGGACGAGGACCGAAUCAGCGCGCUCACCGACGACCUCCUCGUCGGAAUCCUCGAGCGCCUCGACCUGCGCGAGGCGGUCCGCGCCAGUGCACUCUCGUCGCGGUGGCGUCACCUCCCCUACCGGCUAUCGCGCCUGCACCUCGAGGUCGGUCACUUCCAAGGCGCCACGCCGCUCGAGGUCAUGGACGCUUUCACGGGCGCGGCACAGAGGUUGCUCUCUCUGGUGGUUCCUCUGGCCGAGGGCGAGGGCGGCAGUGCUGCCAUCAUUCCCAUCAAAGCCCUCGUCCUCAGCUUUUACAUGUCACCCCCUCACCUGAGCGCCAUAGGCCGCACCGUCGAGGACGCUGUGAGCUACGGCAAGACCGAAUACCUUGAGUUCUCCAUAUCCCUGCCGCGAGGGAGCAACGCCAGCCUGCUUGCUGAAUUCGGGCAGCAGUUCAUGUCCUUCUCCCAGGCCUACCCGGUCGCCUUCUGGUGGCUCACGAGGCUUACACUCAAGAACCUUGUGUUUGGACAUUCCGACGUCACGGAACUUAUUAACGCUUGCAAUAAGCUCAAGCACCUCACCCUGAGUUCCUGCAGACUGGUUGAUCAGCGGUCGGCGCUCAGGAUUGAUACCCCAUGCUCGGGGCUUCGGAGGCUCGACUGCAUCCGUUUUCGUUGUGAACGGAUCGAACUCAUCUCCGUCCCCGAGCUCAGGACAGUACUGUGCUGUUCUCGGCACUACGAGAACCCUCCAGUGCGCUUCGGCGACGUUCCCCAGCUUUGCCAUGUGAACCUUGGUUAUCUUGCCAAGGUGUCGCAAGCGCCAUUCAUGUUGAGUGAGUGCCUUUCAAGGAGUUCCAGGAAUCUGUCAAAACUGAAUCUCAAUUUCUUCAGCCAAACGAUUUGGAUUCAGCCGGAGCAGCCGAAGCGGCUCACUGCUAUAUUCAGAAACCUGACCGACAUGUAUCUUUUUGGUAUCUUCCCUGAGUGUGAUCUGAGCUGGACCCUGUUUAUCCUAGAAGCUGCACCUGCCCUACGGAAUUUCAAGUUAUCUCGAACUCGACAUGCAUGUGGCAAAAAGCUUUACGAUACUGCCGAAAAGACGAAUGUGGUGUGGGAGCCAUCGAAGGAUCUGAAGCAUCUGAACUUGAAGUUGCUGAUGAUGUUAGGGUUCGAGGAGGAGGUCAAGGUGACAAACUAUAUAAGGCUAGUCAUGGCACAUGUUGUGAGGUUGAAGAGAAUCGAGCUUCAUGGUGAGGACCCAUGCAAGGAGUGCAAUGCCAUUGACCCGAGGAGAUCCCAGGUGGAUGAAGCUAGCAGGCGUCAGAUUAAGGAGCGACUCACACUUGAAUCUUCCUUGUCUGCGAAGAUAAUAAUUUGUUGAUGGAGUCUUGACUGAGCCAUGCACAGCUGCAGAUGCGGAUGAUUAUAAAGAUCAUCAAGACAGACUGCAGUGUGGGUCUGUGAGACAAGCAUGCCGACUGUUUACUGCAGAGUCUUGACUCAGCCGUGCACAGUUGCAGAUGCGGAUGAUUAUCAAGACAGCCUGCAGUGUGAGUCUGUGAGACAAACAUGCCAACUGGCACUUGUUUUACGUAUUUUCCUGUUAUUAUGUGGAUGCACAAUGUAUCCAUGAAUUGAUUUGUUCUUCGUGUAACUGACACCAACUGUUAGUUGAAAUAGCUUCAUCGGUGGAGCUAUGACUUUUCACCAUUCAUGUCAUAUAUCAAUUCCCGUGUUUGCUUUUA